rnacentral:rRNA from 1 species
CCAAUCGAACCCGGAGAUAGCUGGUUCUCCUCGAAAUAGCUUUAGGGCUAGCCUCAUACAAGUCUGCCGGAGGUAGAGCACUGAAUUUCCGCGGGGGCGUCAAAGCCUACCAAAGAAUAUCAAACUCCGAAUGCCGGACAGAUGGUGUAUGGGAGUCAGACUGUACGAGAUAAGUUGGACAGUCAAAAGGGAAAGAGCCCAGACCGCCGGCUAAGGUCCCAAAGUGGGUGUUAAGUGGAAAAGGAUGUGGGAUCUCUAAGACAACCAGGAUGUUGGCUCAGAAGCAGCCAUUCAUUAAAAGAGUGCGUAACAGCUCACUGGUCGAGAGGUCCUGCGCCGAAAAUGUCCGGGGCUGAAACACCACACCGAAGCCGCGGAACCCGUAAGGGUUGGUAGAGGAGCAUUCUUAGGGGAGCGAAGCAUUACCGGAAGGGGAUGUGGACUGCUAAGAAGAGAGAAUGCCGGAAUGAGUAGCGAGAGCAAGGUGAGAAUCCUUGCGGCCGAAUAUCCAAGGUUUCCAGAGUAAAGCUGAUCUGCUCUGGGUAAGUCGGGGCCUAAGGAGAGGCAGAGAUGCGUAUCCGAUGGACAGCAGGUUUAAGAUUCCUGCACCCCUUGUUAUCAGAACUGCGGGGACACGGGAAGGGAAGCAGAGCCGGGAAUGGAAAGCCCGGUGCAAGCGAAGGAGUCGCAGGGUUGGAAAAUCCGCCCUGCAUGAGACGAAGGCGUGAUGCGGAGCGAAAUGAAGUAGUGAAGCUGCGGCCCCUUCCUGUCGAGAAAAGCCGCUAUCGUGUAGCAAGGGCCCGUACCGUAAACCGACACAGGUGGAUGAGGAGAGGAUCCUAAGGCCGGCGGGAGAAGUGUUGUUAAGGAACUCGGCAAAAUGACUCCGUAACUUCGGGAGAAGGAGUGCUGCGCAAGCAGCCGCAGAGAAAUGGCCCAAGCAACUGUUUAGCAAAAACACAGGUCUAUGCGAAACCGAAAGGUGAGGUAUAUGGGCUGACGCCUGCCCGGUGCUGGAAGGUUAAGGGGAGAGGUUAGCGCAAGCGAAGCUUUGAACUUAAGCCCCAGUAAACGGCGGCCGUAACUAUAACGGUCCUAAGGUAGCGAAAUUCCUUGUCGGGUAAGUUCCGACCCGCACGAAAGGCGUAAUGAUUUGGGCACUGUCUCAACAACACACCCGGUGAAAUUGAAAUACCAGUGAAGAUGCUGGUUACCCGCGCCAGGACGGAAAGACCCCAUGGAGCUUUACUCCAGUUUGAUACUGGGAUUCGGUACUGCAUGUACAGGAUAGGUGGGAGACGAAGAAGGAUGGACGCCAGUCUGUCCGGAGUCGCUGUUGGGAUACCACCCCUGUAGUACUGGGUUUCUAACCAGUUGCCAUGAUCUGGUAAUGGGACAAUGUCAGGCGGGGAGUUUGACUGGGGCGGUCGCCUCCGAAAGGGUAUCGGAGGCGCUCAAAGGUUCCCUCAGAAUGGUUGGAAACCAUUUGAAGAGUGCAAAGGCAGAAGGGAGCUUGACUGCGACACCGACGGGUGGAGCAGGU